UUCUCAUCUGGGUAUUGCUUAUUAUUGGAAUAUAGAAAUUUUAUUGGAUUGCUUGCUCAAUCCAUUAACUAAUAAAUUUUUUACUCUAUUUGUUCAUAAAGGAAACUUCAGGUUGUGUUACCAAAUUUGUUUGUUUUUUUUUUUUUAAUGGGGAAUAUUUUCAACCACAGUAGCUAUCAACACGUUUGGUUCCCUUUGGUCAUCUAUCAAUCAUCAUCUUAGAAAAAAGUCCACCACCACCAGCCACUACCAGCCGCCCCUUCAAAAGUAAACGCUCAUGAAAAUUCUUAUUUUUCAUAAUAAUGGUGGGUGAUGAUCAUAUAUAAUAAUAAUACCACUACCCCUUUUUAUAUAUAUUUACUGGCCAUUAUAAUAUCAACAACUCAACGUCACUCAAACACGCACUCUAUCUCUCUCUAUAUCCUCCCCGUGGUUGAGUCAAUGAGGGGUUUACUGGAAAAUGUACCUUGGACUUGUCUUCCCUUUUCAUCUCUCCAUCUGUUGUUAUUCCUCUUCCUAACAUGAUGAUGAUGGUGGAAAAACAACCGGGAUUGGGCUAUGUUGUUAUUGUUAUUGUUGGUGUUGUAUUUCCAUUCUUACUCUGUUCUCCUUGCUGGACUGCUGCAGCAGCUUGCAACCUGAAAGAUAGCAACGCUCUGUUGCUGCUGUACCGUACAUCCGCCUUGGCCGUACAGCAGUCUGGAAAAGUAUAUUACUUAAUGCUAUAAAUUAUUCUUUGCGCCUUUGACACCUAUUAUAGCAGUAUUGAAUAUAGACUGUCUGAAUUACAUGAGGCAUUAAGUUGUUUUCGGUUUGUUUUUUAAUUACAACUGAUAACACGAUUGUUUCUAAUCUCAUGAUAAGUGUUUCUUUUGUUCCAUGGCAGGGAACCAGAUUUGAGGCCAACAGCAUCUGAAUUGCUAAAGGUGAUUCAAUUUUGAUUGCCCUUAAUGCCAAGUUUGACAAAUUCCAAGGUGACAACUUUGUAGAGCCCACCAAAAAAAAAAAAAAAAAAACCUUCUUUUGAAGCACAAGAACAGUCAAUUCAAGAAGAAGAUGACAGGCUUCUUUUUGUCCUUUUUUUUCCUCAUUGCAUUACAUAUAAGCUCUUUGUAGAUAGUUCUCAUCUGGGUAUUGCUUAUUAUUGGAAUAUAGAAAUUUUAUUGGAUUGCUUGCUCAAUCCAUUAACUAAUAAAUUUUUUACUCUAUUUGUUCAUAAAGGAAACUUCAGGUUGUGUUACCAAAUUUGUUUGUUUUUUUUUUUUUAAUGGGGAAUAUUUUCAACCACAGUAGCUAUCAACACGUUUGGUUCCCUUUGGUCAUCUAUCAAUCAUCAUCUUAGAAAAAAGUCCACCACCACCAGCCACUACCAGCCGCCCCUUCAAAAGUAAACGCUCAUGAAAAUUCUUAUUUUUCAUAAUAAUGGUGGGUGAUGAUCAUAUAUAAUAAUAAUACCACUACCCCUUUUUAUAUAUAUUUACUGGCCAUUAUAAUAUCAACAACUCAACGUCACUCAAACACGCACUCUAUCUCUCUCUAUAUCCUCCCCGUGGUUGAGUCAAUGAGGGGUUUACUGGAAAAUGUACCUUGGACUUGUCUUCCCUUUUCAUCUCUCCAUCUGUUGUUAUUCCUCUUCCUAACAUGAUGAUGAUGGUGGAAAAACAACCGGGAUUGGGCUAUGUUGUUAUUGUUAUUGUUGGUGUUGUAUUUCCAUUCUUACUCUGUUCUCCUUGCUGGACUGCUGCAGCAGCUUGCAACCUGAAAGAUAGCAACGCUCUGUUGUCUUUCUACAACAAUAUCUCAUUUGUAUCGUUGAAUUGGUCUGCAUCUGUUGACUGCUGUUUAUGGGAUGGAGUUGAUUGUGAUUAUACUGAUGGUCG
rnacentral:lncRNA from 1 species